GCCUUCGUGGUGCAGUGCUCAGCACGUUCGGCGCGUAUUCGAGAGGUCCGUGGUUCGAUUCCCGGCCACGGCA
rfam:Stegodyphus mimosarum contig98773, whole genome shotgun sequence.